AGUUGACUUCUACUCAAUUAAGGUAGGAUUAGUUGACUUCUACUCAAUUAAGGUAGGAUUAGUUGACUUCUACUCAAUUAAGGUAGGAUUUAAUUUCAUUGCAAAAUAUGAUUUAACUCUUAGAUAAUAACUUAUUGCUGUUUUGCACCGCUGUUUGUUUAUUGCUGUUUUGCACCGCUGUUUGUUUAUUGCUGUUUUGCACCGCUGUUUGUUUAUUGCUGUUUUGCACCGCUGUUUGUUUACAGUAAUAACUUUAGUUAUACCAUAAUGUUAUUGCGAUAAUUUGUUGUGUGCCUCUGUUAACUACAUUUAAAGUGCUUAUAGAAAUAGUGUAUAACUCUACUAUAAUAUGACUGUUUUACUAUUUCUUAAAACCCACAAAAUAAACCUAAAUCUAAACAAACAUAUCAAUAUUGUAUAUGCAAUUGUGUGUCAUUAAUAGAACGAUUUAUUUAAUAGAAUAACAAACUAAAGUUUCUAACUGUUACUAUUGUUUAAAAAUUAAUACUAAUUUUUUGUUAUCAUUUUUGUAAUUGAUGUUGAUUAUUUUAUUUUCAUCAUUGUUAUUUGUAUCAUUAAUAUUAAUAGCUGGUAUUUACUAAAAUUAUUCGUAAAUGGCCGUUAUAAGAUUUUUUUUGUCAAAAUAUAUAGUUUGGUUGACAAAAGUCAACCAGUUUGGAAGGUGCAAUUUUGAAAAAAGUUACAUUAUUUUCUUAAAAUAAAAUGGAUGAAGUGAAUGAUGAAAGAGAAGAACAAGAUUUUCUCAAUCUUAAUAAUUACUUAACUAAAGGGGUUUAUCGCAACAUUUGUACUCCCAAUGAAAUGAGAAUUAUCAGAAGAAAAUCAAACAAGUAUAAUCAUUUUUUAAGGUAUUUCCGGACGUAGAAGAAGACACUGAAAAAGCGACUACGCCAAGAACCUCUAUUGACUGUCACGGUUUCGAUCUUGUGCUGUUUCUGCUUUCUAUCAACACCGUAACCAAUUGAGAGAUGGUCCAGAGCCGAAAUAAGAACAGAUACUACACUUAAUCUUAGCCGAGAAGCAAUGUUAGCGUUAUUAUGUAAGAUGAUAGCGUUAUUAUGCAAGAUGAUGCAAGAAUUUUAGAAGAUAAGGGAUCGUCCAUUUAUUUAUCAUCAUAUGCCAUUGUGCGGAGAGAAAUCGAAAGAUAAGGUAAAGUGGAAGAGUAGGAUGUUUAAAAAAGAUUACAAAAAAUUUUUAUUUAAAGGAAGAAAUUUAUAAUAAAAUAACAGAAACAAUUAGAGGACUUUAGCACAAAAAACACAUUACGUACGCUAUAGAAAAACAUUUAAAUAAGGAAAUUAUAAAUGAUAAAAUAAAGGCUGGCAGUGAUUAUUAAAUCAUAAUUAAUAAUAUUAUGUUGUAAAAAUAAGAAUUUGUAGAGAAAUAAAAAA